AUGGCUACCGCCGUAGCAGGAAGCUUGCCUGCAGUGACUCCACCUACAGUCAUCACCGACGAUCAACGAAGAUGGGUCGUCAUUGGCAUUUGUCUCAACAAACUUCUUACUCCGCUAUUGAGAAAUGUCCUUGCAAAAGAAAUGUUGGGUUGGUAUAACCUACUUUGCCUCCCGUCGUCAAAGCAAAUCAACAAGCAAAUUUACAAAAAAGAAACAAAAACAUUACCACCUUCCACGAUAAAACUUAAUUAUGGUAAUAUCAACAAGAAUUAUGACAACCACAAGUCAACAUAUAAUGCUUAUGAUUAUAAUGUCAAAGAUCCGGAAUCUCUUGCCAAGUUAUUUGUCCAACCUUUCAUGGCAAAGUUCAACGGCUUUGACCAAACCAUGGAUCUUUCUGCUGUAUUAACAGUGAUGUGUGAAGCUGACCCAUUUCACACAUCUGGAACUGCUGCACAGGCAAAUACAGUUCGUUCAGUGGUGAGGAACGAAUGGGCUCAUUGUAAUUUUUCACACUGGAGCGAUGCAAAUUAUCUCUCGUGUAUACAGCAUAUCGAGACACUGGUGAAGAAAUUAAACUUGCCAAGUGCUGACGAAAACGAAUUUCUUAAAGAACUGAAUAACUGGAAAGACAAAGGUAAUUUUCUUGUAUAAUAUUUACAUGUAUUUUCAGCAGCAAAUUUGCCAAACUUGCAGGGAACGUUUAUCCAAAGAAUAUUUACAGAAAAUUUGAUAUUCACACGCUUAAUCUAGCUCUUAACCAAUCAGAUGCGUACUGAUCCAGUAGGGGAAGGCGCGGGUAGUGGUAGUGGUAGUGGUAGUGAAAAUCAAAUUAUAACCACUCCAUAAUAUAUCUAUAGUCAUGUAAAAUAAUGCUGUAAAGUGACCAGCCUAUGAUUUACUAGGCGGGAAAAAAGUUAGAAAGUUAAUGAAGUUUGCAUAAAUUUAUGUAUUCCUAGACUUCCUACACCCAAUAUUCCCCCCCGUGCAUUAACAGACCUAAACGCACUAUUAGAGUUUUCCUAUAAUUUAUUUUAUAAGGUUAGUAGGAGAUAUUACAUAGGAAUCAAUUUUACUCAAAAUUUCCUAACAUGUAAUCAGUGAAAUCCGCGCAUGUACUUAUAUUUGUCGCUUAGCAACACGCUUGUCGACAUAAGCGGGGAAGGAGCAGCUGAGGAAAACAAUUGGCGCUUUCCAUUAACAUGGCCAAACCGGUCAGAACGGUCAAAUUGUUGAAUGAAACACAAAACAUUUGGGCUUCGGACCUAUCUAACCGGAAAAUUUUGAUAACAUUAGAAUGAGGUCCAUUUUCGCUAGACAUUUGAGAAACAUAGACCAGAUCUUUCCUUUGAUACUGAGAAAAGUAUUCAGGUCUGACCGGUCAGGCCAUUGAAUGGAAAGCGCCCAAUGUUACAGUUGAGAAAAUCUAUUUAAAACGCUGGAAAUAGAACAAUUAGUGAUAAGCAAACUAAGUUUGUAAGAUUUUUCAGCAUCUGGCCUGCCGGAAUUGCCAUGAAAACCGUGGAAUACGUCGGAUUGCUUGAAAUUAUUGUAUUUUUUCCUGAAAAUAUAUUUGACAGUUUCUAUCAGAGGUAUUAAAGGUACUUUCUAAAUCACAUUUGUUCAGAUUUCGUACAUUUUUCUGGUUUUGGUAUUUCCGCUGUAUCUUUAUCUGUAAGUUUUUCUCGGCUAUUUUUUUUUGUCUAUUUUUCCUUGCUUUCUGAUAAAUUUUGUAUUUUAAAAACUUUAUGGUUUUGUUUAUAUUUGUGGCUACAAAGUGGAGCGGGAAAAAACACAGAAAGACCACAGUGCAUUAUUGCAUUAGGCCUAUAACGCAAGCGCAUUAGCCAAUCAAAUUGUAUGUUAUAUCGGCCUUAUAUUACAAAUGGAUUCAACAUCUGCUAGAAUUCGGAUGCUCUAUUUUACCAACAUUUGGCGUUUUUGAGACUGGACAUGAAUUCAUGCAAAUUUUUGGAACUAUCACGUUGAACGUUCAAAACGAGUUUACUCGUACUAAAUUUGGCAAACACAAGCAUGUUUUGCGCCACCAUUAUAGGUCUAAAACUUCAAAUAAUAUAAUGACCAGUUUAAAUUGUAUUUACGUAAGUAAUGCAUUCUACGAUGAGGUCUUGUGUAAACACCAUUCUUGUUCGGUUCUGUGCUCUUAUAUAUGUUUCGUCUAGAGUGUCAUGAUUUCAUUGUGUAUUUCUUCACCGUGGGUGCAAAUUAAACGCACCAUCUGCGCCAUUUACGUAUACAGUAUAUUACAAUUCCGGGAGUCAUAUUAUUUUCUAUUUUCUCCUCGAUCUUGAAGUUUUUUCCUCCAUAUUAUUAUUUUCUAGCCACUUCCAAAACACACUGCUCCAAUAUGAUAUUGUUUUCUUGACGUUGGAGCAAAACCCGUUGUGUCGUUUCGGUACCUACCAAAUCAUAUCUCUUGAGUGAUGAGUCGCUGUAUACAUGGUUGAUAACGUACAUUGGAAACAUAUCUGGAGAUUGACAUCCUCGCACGUGUUCGCCGGCCUCCCUGACAAAGGGCAUAAUCACCAUUUCACCAUUUGAUUUUUUUAAAGGUCCACAAUUAUGCUGUGGUCAGGCAGUAGACGCUGAUCUUCUUAAAAUUGUCAAGACUAACGUGUCAGAACUUUACGAAUCUGUGACAAUACUGGAAGAAGAGAACCAAG